CCUAUGCAUUCCCUCCGACUCCUCUCAUUUUCCCACUUCUGAGGAGACUACGACAAGAGAAGGUAUCUUUAAUUCUGAUAGCCCCCUUUUGGCCACGCAGACCUUGGUUUCCUCUUCUAUUAAGUCUCUGCAAGAAAGGCCCAUGGCGUCUACCGGAAGUUUCAUUCCUACUGCAACAGGGUCCCAUCCUUCAUCCAAAUCCAGCAUCCC